rnacentral:lncRNA from 10 species
UUUCGGACUCAGCCCACUUGCACCCAAGUGAAUAAACAGUGUUAUUGCCCACACAAAGCCUGUCUGUUGGUCUCUUCACAUAGAUGUGCUUGACAUUUGGUGCCAUGACUCAGAUCGGGGGACCUCCCUUGGGAGAUCAAUCCCCUGUCCUCCUGCUACAUUUGGUGCCGUGACUUGGAUCAGGGGACCUCCCUCGGGAGAUCAAUCCCCUGUCUUCCUGCUCUUUGCUCUGUGAGAAAAUCCACCUAUGACGUCAGGUUCUCAGACCAGCCCAAGAAACACCUCACCAAUUUUAAAUUGGAGAUAGCAGAAACGUGUUUUUUCCAUGGAUCCAAAAUGCUGGUGGCACUGGUCAUGGACUCAGGAAGACAGUCUUCCCUUGGUGUCUAAUCACCGCGGGGACACCUGCCUGAUUAUUCACCCGCAUUCCAGAGGUGUUCGAUCACCAUGGGGACACCUGCCUUGAUCCUCCACCUUGGUGGCAAGGACCCACUGGAAAUCAGACUGCCCAGAUCACCCGGCAACCACUCCCAGAACCCCUAAAGCUCUGGCCCAAGGAUCUCUGACUGACUCCUUCCCAGAUCUGCUUGGCUUAGUGACUGAAGACUGACACUGCCCAAUUGCCUUGGAAAACCCCUGGACCGUCACAGAUGCUGAGCUUCGGGUAACUCUCACAGUGGAGGCUUUAUAUUUUAUAAAUAAAAAGACAGGAAUGUCAGGCCUCUGAGCUGAAACUCAGCCAUUAUAACUUCUGUGACCUGCACAUACACAUCCAGGUGGCCUGCAGGAGCCAAGAAGUCUGGAGCAGCCAAAAAAUCACAAAGAUGUAAAACAACCAGUUCCUGCCUUAACUGAUUAACCAAAAUUACAACAUUUUACCAUUGUGACUUGUCCCUGCCCUACCUUAGCUGAUCAAUCAACUUUGCAACAUUCUUCUUUUGGACAAUGAGUCUUAUGAUCUCCCCACCAUGUACCUUGUGACCCCCCCUCUGCUAACAAUAGAUAACCACCUUUUACUGUAAUUUUCCAUUACCUACCCAACUCCUAUAAAGCAAACCCUUCCCCAUCUCCCUUCACUGACUCUCUUUUCAGACUGAGCCCACUUGCACCCAAGUGAAUAAACAGUCUUAUUGCUCACACAAAGCCUGUUUGUUGGUCUCUUCACAUGGACGCGCUUGACAUAGGUUGCUGGGUACAUAGCACUGAGCAACCGGUACUUUAGUUAAAUGUCAGAGUCAGGGUUAAGAUCAAUAAAAGUUACAAUACAGUAACACUUGCCUAGACACAGUGGGAAAUCUUGUUUAUGAUGAUUUCCAGAUGAGAA